GACGAACGCUGGCGGCGUGCCUAAUACAUGCAAGUCGAGCGGAAGUUGGAGAGCUUGCUCUUCAACUUUAGCGGCGGACGGGUGAGUAACACGUGGGCAACCUGCCCUGCAGAUCGGGAUAACUCCGGGAAACCGGUGCUAAUACCGAAUAGUUUUCGCCACCUCCUGGUGGCGUACGGAAAGACGGUUUCGGCUGUCACUGCAGGAUGGGCCCGCGGCGCAUUAGCUAGUUGGUGGGGUAACGGCCCACCAAGGCGACGAUGCGUAGCCGACCUGAGAGGGUGAUCGGCCACACUGGGACUGAGACACGGCCCAGACUCCUACGGGAGGCAGCAGUAGGGAAUCUUCCGCAAUGGACGAAAGUCUGACGGAGCAACGCCGCGUGAGUGACGAAGGUUUUCGGAUCGUAAAACUCUGUUGUGAGGGAAGAACAAGUACCACUUAACUACUGGUACCUUGACGGUACCUCACCAGAAAGCCACGGCUAACUACGUGCCAGCAGCCGCAGUAA
rnacentral:rRNA from 1 species